rnacentral:rRNA from 1 species
AGCCAUGAUCAAACUCUAAAUACACCGAUUGAAAAUUGAGUGGCGAACGGGUGAGUAACACGUGGGUAACCUGCCCAAAAGAGGGGGAUAACACUUGGAAACAGGUGCUAAUACCGCAUAACCAUGAUGACCGCAUGGUCAUUAUGUAAAAGAUGGUUUCGGCUAUCACUUUUGGAUGGACCCGCGGCGUAUUAACUUGUUGGUGGGGUAACGGCCUACCAAGGUAAUGAUACGUAGCCGAACUGAGAGGUUGAUCGGCCACAUUGGGACUGAGACACGGCCCAAACUCCUACGGGAGGCAGCAGUAGGGAAUCUUCCACAAUGGGCGCAAGCCUGAUGGAGCAACGCCGCGUGAGUGAAGAAGGUCUUCGGAUCGUAAAACUCUGUUGUUAGAGAAGAACAUGCAAGAGAGUAACUGUUCUUGUAUUGACGGUAUCUAACCAGA